rnacentral:rRNA from 1 species
UACGAAGGGUGCAAACGUUGCUCGGAAUUAUUGGGCGUAAAGCGCACGUAGGCGGCUUGGCAAGUCGGAUGUGAAAUCCCUCGGCUCAACCAAGGAAGUGCAUCCGAAACUGCUGAGCUUGAGUACUUAAGAGGAUCGCGGAAUUCCCGGUGUAGAGGUGAAAUUCGUAGAUAUCGGGAGGAACACCAGUGGCGAAGGCGGGUCUCUGGGCAACAACUGACGCAUGAGGAGGCGAAAAGCGUUGGGGAGCCGAACAGGG